AGAGUUUGAUCAUGGCUCAGAAUCAACGCUGGCGGCGUGCCUAACACAUGCAAGUCGAACGCGAAAGGGGGCAACCCCGAGUAGAGUGGCGUCCGGGUGAGUAACACGUGGAUAAUCUACCUUUGGAUGGGGAAUAACUCCGCGAAAGUGGAGCUAAUACCGCAUAACAGGCGAGGGGGGCAUCUUCCUUGUCUCAAAGCGGGGGACCGCAAGGCCUCGCGUCCGAAGAGGAGUCCGCGGCCGAUUAGCUAGUUGGUGAGGUAAAGGCUCACCAAGGCAUCUAUCGGUAGCCGGCCUGAGAGGGUGACCGGCCACACUGGCACUGAAACACGGGCCAGACUCCUACGGGAGGCAGCAGUGGGGAAUUUUGGGCAAUGGCCGAAAGGCUGACCCAGCAACGCCGCGUGAGGGAUGAAAUCUUUCGGGAUGUAAACCUCGUAAGUCAGGGAAGAAUAAACGCGUUCUAACACAACGCGAUAUGACGGUACCUGACGUAAGCCCCGGCUAACUCCGUGCCAGCAGCCGCGGUA
rnacentral:rRNA from 1 species